AUCUGACAUUCCCUCUUUCUGUCUCCCAGCUGGGCUGGACGAGGAAGUGGCUCACUCAAAACUUUUCUAGCCCUCCCACAUUCUUUCUGCAAUCGACUGGGAAAUGGAGCCGGAGAGGGAUGUUCUCCUCUCCCCCCUCCCCCUUUCAGUCUCUGAAAAAGGACAUUCUUAAUGGGGCUUUCUCUGGUACUGCAAACAGGGAGAUCUCCGCUUCUCAGAGCGCAUGGGGCUUGUUACAAUAUUUCUAGAGCGGAAGAUUAUGCACAGAACUCAAAGAACAGAUUAAAACGAGCACACAGCGGGACGAAUGGCAUAUUUAUAUUUUAUGAUCAUGCAGCAUUGUUCAACUGAGGAAACAGGAAUGGGUGACAAAACAAAAACUGGUGUUCUGAAAUGACUCAGUGAAACACACUUCACCCCGAGGAAGUUAUCGGAAAUAAUUCCUUUCAGCUGACGCUCGUAUUUUUUUACCGCUUUUGUAAAUGUCUGCGCAAUUUCAAAUGAACAUUUUUAUAAUCUAAUUUAUUUCUCAGGGUUAAUGUACGUUUUACAUUUCAUUCACCUUGGACAAUGAAAACAGACAAGUUAGUUCCAUUUUGAUUUAUAGUCAGUUUGGUCUUAAUUCCACUUUCAAGCUCUAAACUCUGCUUCAAAGUUGUAAUGCUUAAAUUAGGAACACUGCAGGUGAAUGACUGAAUCCACUUAAAAUCUAUUUUAAUUGACUUUUUUAAUGAUAAAAACAUUGAUAAACUUUUUUUCAAGACCUUGUUUUUACAAAAUGUAAAGUCUUUCAAACACUGAA